UCUCCGUUGGUGAACCAGCGGAGGGAUCAUUACUGGAAUCGCAAGACUCCCAACCCCUGUGAACGUACCGAAACGUUGCCUCGGCGGGCCUCGCGCCCGCCGGCGGCCCCACUCCACUCUUUUGUAAGCGGCACUGCCUGUCUGAUUAAACUGUUACCGAAAUGGAAAACACAACUUUCAACAACGGAUCUCUUGGCUCUGGCAUCGAUGAAGAACGCAGC
rnacentral:misc_RNA from 1 species